rnacentral:pre_miRNA from 1 species
AGCAUAAUGACUGGGUCAUAUGCUAAGUAUACAUUUCACUUAUUGAGAAACUGCUAUAGUAUUUUCCAAAAUGGUUGUACCAUUUUUCCUUCCCACCAGAAAU